rnacentral:ncRNA from 1 species
UGAAAACCGAUGACGGAAAAGAGAAACCGUAACGUCCUCAGAGAGCCGAUGGUUGGUGCAAAUCGGUGGCGUAAAGUAUUCUUGAGCGUUCCUGAGAUAUUUCGCUGAAACUUGGAGUAGGCGCAAAUCGGAUGAUAUCCGUUACCAAUCAUGGUCUGAACAGACCGCUUGAGGCUGCCGCAUCUUGGCAGCGAAUAAGGGUGGCACCACGAAUAACUCUCGUCCCUUAC